GAAAGAACUAACAAGGAUUCCCCUAGUAMCUGCGAGUGAAGCGGGAAAAGCUCAAAUUUAAAAUCUGGCAGUCUUUGGCUGUCCGAGUUGUAAUCUAGAGAAGUAAUGCCCGCGCUGGACCGUGUACAAGUCUCCUGGAAUGGAGCGUCAUAGAGGGUGAGAAUCCCGUCUCUGACACGGACUACCAGGGCUUUGUGGUAUGCUCUCAAAGAGUCGAGUUGUUUGGGAAUGCAGCUCAAAAUGGGUGGUAAAUUCCAUCUAAAGCUAAAUAUUGGCGAGAGACCGAUAGCGAACAAGUACCGUGAGGGAAAGAUGAAAAGAACUUUGGAAAGAGAGUUAAACAGUACGUGAAAUUGCUGAAAGGGAAACGCUUGAAGUCAGUCGCGUUGGCCGGGGAUCAGCCUUGCUUUUUGCUCGGUGUACUUCCUGGUUGACGGGUCAACAUCAAUUUUGACCGCUGGAAAAAGGCUUGGGGAAUGUGGCAGCUUCGGCUGUGUUAUAGCCUCUUGUUGCAUACAGCGGUUGGGAUUGAGGAACUCAGCACGCCGCAAGGCCGGGUUUCGACCACGUUCGUGCUUAGGAUGUUGGCAUAAUGGCUUUAAGCGACCCGUCUUGAAACACGGACCAAGGAGUCUAACAUGCCUGCGAGUGUUUGGGUGGUAAACCCAAGCGCGUAAUGAAAGUGAAAGUUGAGAUCCCUGUCGCGGGGAGCAUCGACGCCCGGACCAGAACUUUUGGGACGGAUCCGCGGUAGAGCAUGUAUGUUGGGACCCGAAAGAUGGUGAACUAUGCCUGAAUAGGGUGAAGCCAGAGGAAACUCUGGUGGAGGCUCGUAGCGAUUCUGACGUGCAAAUCGAUCGUCAAAUUUGGGUAUAGGGGCGAAAGACUAAUCGAACCUCUAUACUGU
rnacentral:rRNA from 1 species